rnacentral:rRNA from 1 species
GAUCCUGGCUCAGGAUGAACGCUGGCGGCGUGCCUAACACAUGCAGGUCGAGCGAGAAACUCACGACAGACACUUCGGUUGAAGGAAUGAGUGGAAAGCGGCGGACGGGUGAGUAACGCGUAGGCAACCUGCCUCACACAGAGGGAUAGCCAUUGGAAACGAUGAUUAAAACCUCAUAAUGCCAUUUUAUCACAUGAGAAGAUGGCCAAAGAUUUAUCGGUGUGAGAUGGGCCUGCGUCUGAUUAGUUAGUUGGUGAGGUAACGGCCCACCAAGGCAACGAUCAGUAGCCGACCUGAGAGGGUGAUCGGCCACAUUGGAACUGAGACACGGUCCAAACUCCUACGGGAGGCAGCAGUGGGGAAUAUUGCACAAUGGGCGAAAGCCCUGAUGCAGCAACGCCGCGUGAAGGAUGAAGGCUUUCGGGUCGUAAACUUCUGUCCUUGGGGAAGAAAAAAUGACGGUACCCAUGGAGGAAGCCCCGGCUAACUACGUGCCAGCCGCCGC